rnacentral:rRNA from 1 species
AGUGAACGCUGGCGGUAGGCCUAACACAUGCAAGUCGAACGGCGGCACAGUAAGAGCUUGCUCUUACGGGUGGCGAGUGGCGGACGGGUGAGGAAUACAUCGGAAUCUACUUUUUCGUGGGGGAUAACGUAGGGAAACUUACGCUAAUACCGCAUACGACCUACGGGUGAAAGCAGGGGAUCUUCGGACCUUGCGCGAUUGAAUGAGCCGAUGUCGGAUUAGCUAGUUGGCGGGGUAAAGGCCCACCAAGGCGACGAUCCGUAGCUGGUCUGAGAGGAUGAUCAGCCACACUGGAACUGAGACACGGUCCAGACUCCUACGGGAGGCAGCAGUGGGGAAUAUUGGACAAUGGGCGCAAGCCUGAUCCAGCCAUACCGCGUGGGUGAAGAAGGCCUUCGGGUUGUAAAGCCCUUUUGUUGGGAAAGAAAAGCAGCAGGUUAAUACCCCGCUGUUCUGACGGUACCCAAAGAAUAAGCACCGGCUAACUUCGGG